UGAGUAACCUGCCCCAAACUCUGGAAUAAGCACUGGAAACGGUGUCUAAUACCGGAUACGAGCUUCAGCCGCAUGGCUAGGAGUUGGAAAGAAUUUUCGGUUUGGGAUGGACUCGCGGCCUAUCAGCUAGUUGGUGAGGUAAUGGCUCACCAAGGCGACGACGGGUAGCCGGCCUGAGAGGGUGACCGGCCACACUGGGACUGAGACACGGCCCAGACUCCUACGGGGAGCAG
rnacentral:rRNA from 1 species